UACGAAGGGUGCUAGCGUUGUUCGGAAUUACUGGGCGUAAAGCGCGCGCAGGCGGCCUUUCAAGUCAGGGGUGAAAGCCCGGAGCUCAACUCCGGAAUUGCCUUUGAAACUGUCAGGCUCGAGUACGGGAGAGGUGAGUGGAAUUCCCAGUGUAGAGGUGAAAUUCGUAGAUAUUGGGAAGAACACCGGUGGCGAAGGCGGCUCACUGGCCCGUUUCUGACGCUCAGGCGCGACAGCGUGGGGAGCAAACAGG
rnacentral:rRNA from 1 species